rnacentral:lncRNA from 1 species
UGAGUACGUAACAAACAAAAACUUCACAUAAAAGAUAACAGUAUGCAGCAAAUAAAUAUAUAAACUGAGAAAAGGGGUGCUCCAAAAAAUUUAGACUGUCACAGAUGUAGUGGUUUAAACUGCAUCAAUACAAACAUUGAAGGGUCCAGGUACACACCUAUCUUUCUACAAAAACCAACUGUGCUUGUUUCUAUACAAUUGGAAGUCAUCUUUACAGGAUUUCACAUACUAAUCCUUGAAAUACUCUCCCAAGGAUCCCAAAGAUUGGUCGGCUUCGACAAAAUGUCCAACUGGGUCCACCUUGUUCUGAACACAGCUCCACCAGGUUCAACAUUUUUCCAGAAACCCAAAAGAUCUUGCAAGUAAUGAGAAUGGAUGCUUUUUACUUGAACAGCUCAGUAUAGAUGUACCAGUAGAAGAUGGAAACACCUUCAUUUACGGGGAAAAAUGAUGAUAUUAGCAAAACAGAUAAUACAGAAAACUUAAGAGUUUUUCACAUUGUGGCAUCCACUAGAAAUAAAUGGUUCGAGGAAAUUUGACAAAUUAUGCGCAAAACGUUAGAAUGAACAAGGGUCCCUUUAGAAAAAAAAUGUCGUAAUCUGCUAGGUUAUAAAACUAAAAUUUGGAAAAUAUGCAAAGAUGCUUUAGCUGGAAUCUAUAUACAUGAGACAACUGUCAUAAAACAUGAACCCUGAGAGUUUCCAUUGCAAGGCCAAACCAGCUAAAGGCAAUAUGUAAACAAUAGAAUGUGACGCACGAAAAUCACUGUAUACAACAUCAUAUCAAGGCUUAUUCAAAUCAAUUUACGUUAUAAGAAUUGUCAAUAUGAUGUAACUUUAUAUAACAUCUCCCUUCAGUAUGUUAUAUAUGGAAUGCAUGUGUUGAGUCUCAUCUCCGGUUCUGAAUAUCCAUGUUCACCCUUUCUGAGUUCUGACAACCACCUCUUAUCAUCCAUAAUGCCCCACUUACAACUCCCCAUGCCGGUGUACGGGUUUUCCUAUGACCCCAGUGCUAAGUAUAGAUUGGUUGUCACUUAAGACCUCCAGGUCUUGGAUGCGACUAAUUAAUCUAUGGAAUUUCGCUCCUGGAGUCCUGGAGCAACCUUCACUCCUUAAACUACGUUAAAAACCAAGUUUUAAUUAAACGUUAUAAUUGACAGUCUCUAGCUGUCAUAACAGCCUUCGUAAAUAUCACAGUCAAUUUUGUAUUCGACGGCCCAAAACUGUCAAAAAAUAUUUGACAGUUAUUAAACGUCGAAUAUUUUUAAAAUAAACGACAGCUUGUGACCGUCUAUUUUCUCAAUUUUGAUAGACACUAGCAGUCAAAAAUUAAUAUUAUGGGUAUCAUAUUUCUACUACCAAAAUUUCUUUUCUUUAAUUAAUGACAGCUUCAACCGUCGAAUUUCUAAGAGUUUACUAGUGGGCCAAUUAUUAUUUUUAUGUUUUAAAAAAAAAUAAAAAACUAAUAUAUAUAUAUUAGCCACUAUAAUAACUUCACAGAACUUUCACUUCUUAGAGCAUCUCUAAUGGGUCUUCUAUAUCAAAAACUAUAGGAAUUCGAAAAAAAAAGCAGCCCUAACGCGUCGUCUAAAAAAUAGCAGUCGACCAUUCACGUAGAACGUGGUGGGCCGGUCUGCUAAAACUUUGGAUAAAAUCGCUGGAGAGAUAGGAUUAUAGGAAAAUUCUAAAAUUAUUUGUUCCACACUAGUUCGACUAGCUAGCGUGGAACCAUUUUAACUAAAGUUUUUUUGUUCUGCGCCAGUCUAACCAGAGUGGAACCAUUUUAACUAAAUUUUUUUGUUCCGCGCUGGUUGCACCAGCGUGGAAACAUAAUUUUCAAACGACUAUAAUUUCAAGAGCUAGAACAAAGAAGAGGUAGAAGAUGAUUUUCAAGAGCUAGAACAAAGAAUAACAAUGGCGGAUGAAGAAGAUAAGAUGAAGUACUGACUGAAAAAAAAACUAGAUUUACAGUUCCACGCAGGUUGAACCAGCGUGGAACGUACUUGGGUCUAAAUUAAAAUAGAUCCAUAAGUUAAAUGUACUUGGGCUUGGUUAGUUAAUUAAGUCCAGCCCCCAAAAAAUACUUCCACGCUGGUUGAACCUGCGUGGAAGAUAGAAUUAUAGCAAAAAAAAAUCAAGCGCGUUAGGGAUGCUCCUGGUAUAGGUUUGAACGACGUGCUAAAUUUUUUUUGGGGAAACGACGUGGCACCUAUGUGUCGUCCAUAACUGUCUAUGUGUCGUUCAAAUAUAGUAAAUUAUAGGAGGAAAAAAAAUUAAACAUUUGAGUUCAAUGAACCAUGAAUAUACUUAUCUACAACAAAAUUUUCAAUUAAAGUCUAAAAUUACCAAAGACCUACUUCAAAUAAAACAAAGAAAUUCCAUAAACGAACAAUAAUUUUCGUAUUAAACCUCAAAUCCAAGCAAUAGAACAUAAAAUUGAUAAAAUAAAGUAAGCUAUAAGGGAAAAAAAUCAGACCUUUGAGGUGCCCAAGAAUUACACACGUAUCCUUGUCUUGGGUUCCACUAAUCCAGGCACAAUUUGAGUGUUUUUGUUGUCUUCCACCUCAAUAAACAAAUGGGGUAAUAACAAUUAGAAAUCCUUACUCCAACAGAGUGAGAAAUCAAAACCCUAAACUAUAUGCCUCUUAGAGAGAGAGAGUACUUUCUUCAAUGUUUUUGAGUAUAGAUAGAAUCCUAAAAAUAGAAAAUUUUGUUAAGGUAGUAAGAGAAAAUGAAAUUUUGGGCGGUAAUAAGAUGAAAUA